rnacentral:rRNA from 1 species
CUACGGAGGGUGCAAGCGUUAAUCGGAAUUACUGGGCGUAAAGGGUUCGUAGGCGGUUAUUUAAGUCAGAUGUGAAAGCCCCGGGCUCAACCUGGGAAUUGCAUCUGAUACUGGGUAACUAGAGUUUAAGAGAGGAGUGUGGAAUUUCCGGUGUAGCGGUGAAAUGCAUAGAGAUCGGAAGGAACAUCAGUGGCGAAGGCGGCACUCUGGCUUAAAACUGACGCUGAGGAACGAAAGCGUGGGUAGCAAACAGGAUUAGAAACCCCAGUAGUCC